GGUUGUGGCUCAGUGAUAGAGUGCUUGCCUAGCAUGCACAAGGCACUGGGUUCGAUCCUCAGCACCA
rnacentral:tRNA from 1 species